CCUAGGGAGGCUGCAGUGGGGAAUAUUUGACAAUGGGCGAAAGCCUGAUCCAGCCAUGCCGCGUGUGUGAAGAAGGCCUUCGGGUUGUAAAGCACUUUCAGUGGGGAAGAAAGCCUUGGGGCUAAUACCCUCGAGGAAGGACAUCACCCACAGAAGAAGCACCGGCUAACUCCGUGCCAGCAGCCGCGGUAAUACGGAGGGUGCGAGCGUUAAUCGGAAUUACUGGGCGUAAAGCGCGCGUAGGCGGUCUGAUAAGCCGGUUGUGAAAGCCCCGGGCUCAACCUGGGAACGGCAUCCGGAACUGUCAGGCUAGAGUGCAGGAGAGGAAGGUAGAAUUCCCGGUGUAGCGGUGAAAUGCGUAGAGAUCGGGAGGAAUACCAGUGGCGAAGGCGGCCUUCUGGACUGACACUGACGCUGAGGUGCGAAAGCGUGGGUAGCAAACAGGAUUAGAUACCCCUGUAGUC
rnacentral:rRNA from 1 species